rnacentral:rRNA from 1 species
UUCAGGAGAAGGAACUCGGCAAAUUAACACCGUAACUUCGGGAGAAGGUGUGCCCCGGUAGCGUGUAGAGACUUGCUCUCGAAGCGCGAUUGGGUUGCAGUGAAAUGGUGGCUGCGACUGUUUAAUAAAAACACAGCACUCUGCAAACGCGAAAGUGGACGUAUAGGGUGUGACGCCUGCCCGGUGCCGGAAGGUUAAGUGAUGGGGUGCAAGCUCUUGAUCGAAGCCCCGGUAAACGGCGGCCGUAACAAUAACGGUCCUAAGGUAGCGAAAUUCCUUGUCGGGUAAGUUCCGACCUGCACGAAUGGCGUAACGAUGGCCACACUGUCUCCUCCUGGGACUCAGCGAAGUUGAAAUGUUUGUGAAGAUGCAAUCUACCCGCGGCUAGACGGAAAGACCCCAUGAACCUUUACUGUAGCUUUGCAUUGGACUUUGAACCGGUUUGUGUAGGAUAGGUGGGAGACUGUGAAGCCGGGACGCUAGUUUCGGUGGAGUCAACCUUGAAAUACCACCCUGAUUUGUUUGAGGUUCUAACCUUGGUCCGUGAAUCCGGAUCGGGGACCGUGCAUGGUAGGCAGUUUGACUGGGGCGGUCUCCUCCCAAAAGGUAACGGAGGAGUACGAAGGUACGCUUAGGGCGGUCGGACAUCGCCCACAAAGUGCAAUGGCAAAAGCGUGCUUGACUGCGAGACCCACAAGUCGAGCAGGUACGAAAGUAGGUCAUAGUGAUCCGGAGGUUCUGUAUGGAAGGGCCAUCGCUCAACGGAUAAAAGGUACUCUGGGGAUAACAGGCUAAUUCCUCCCAAGAGUUCAUAUCGACGGGGGAGUUUGGCACCUCGAUGUCGGCUCAUCACAUCCUGGGGCUGUAGUCGGUCCCAAGGGUAUGGCUGUUCGCCAUUUAAAGUGGUACGCGAGCUGGGUUUAAAACGUCGUGAGACAGUUUGGUCCCUAUCUGCCGUGGGCGCUGGAAAUUUGAAGGGGGCUGCUCCUAGUACGAGAGGACCGGAGUGGACGAACCUCUGGUGUACCGGUUAUGACGCCAGUCGUAUCGCCGGGUAGCUAAGUUCGGAAGAGAUAAACGCUGAAAGCAUCUAAGCGUGAAACUCGCCUUAAGAUAAGAUUUCCCGGAGUCUUGAACUCCCUGAAGGGUCGUCGAAGACCACGACGUUGAUAGGUCAGGUGUGGAAGCGCAGCAAUGCGUUAAGCUAACUGAUACUAAUUGCCCGUGCGGCUUGAUCCU